UCUCGAUAGUUGAAUAUUUAACCGCGGAACACCAACAGUGCUCCCUCGGCUUUCGUCGUGCGAACGUGAUUCGUCUACGUAAAUGUCGUUAUCAGUAUUGACAUACUUUUCCCAAAUGGUACCAGUUCUCUGAGUGUUCUUCGUUCGUAUACUACGUUAUACUUUUAAUCGAAUAGCAAUAACCGUGGAAACUAACCAAGUGUUCCACCAAGUCCUCUCUUCGCUUCGAGAAAAGUGUCGGACUAUUCAUUCAACUAUUUACCGUAAUGCUAAUGAAGAUUGUGGAAAUGUUAGAAAAUCACAACUCGACUACGUCUGGUCCUUCCAUAGAUGCGACGUUUUGCCAAAAUGCCCGCACGGUACUCCAUUUUCUUCGCUAAGAUUGAUAGCCGAUUCAUCGAUUUCCGUUGGGAGAUUCGUAGAUAGUAGAAGCUUGUAGUACUUCUAGAAGCAAUCUACUCUCGAAGCAGAGGAAACAUCGAUGCACAGUCCACUCUUUUUCGUACGAACGUCUUUGUGAUCCAUUUCAAAUCAACGAAGCAUACUUUCUUAUAAUAAGUCGACUAGAAGAUUCGAAAGACAUUAUGGCAACGUACCAAAAGUAAGUACACUUUUAUACUAUUUUAUUGUCUCGAUACGAAAAAGAAGAAGAAGAAGAAAAAGAAGAGGAAUAAAAAUAUCUUAAAUUUGUCAGAAAUGCAAAUAAUCGUCUUUAUUUUGGUUAUCACUUAUAAACAGUCGAAUUGAUACAAUUUUUGUUAAAGUUCCAUAAAUCAAAUAUAAUUAUGUGCAUAUCGUCCAUCCUAUGAAUUGACAUUUUCUUUAUCGACGUUUCAGUCGAACGUAGCCAACGACUAUCUAUAGAUUAGAGUGUAAAGAAGAAGAGGGAGUCUCAUAAAAUUUUAGUGACACUAUAAAAACGAAUGCUUUCUCGCAAAUCCGUACUCUGUAUCUUUCCGUACGAAAGAUUAUCAGCAAAGUUAUAUAGUCUACUCUUUUUAACGAUCCUUUUCACCAUAAAAUUCUUUCAAAAGAUAUAUGUGUAUUGUAUGGUGAAAAAUAGACGAUGAUUUCCUUUCCAACGAAAUUCUAUCACUAAUAUAAUAUUUUAGAUGUAUUACGAAUGCAAUCUUUUUAAAAUCAAUCAUU